AGAUUCAGAGGGAAGCACGAGGCAAGAGAAAUGAGAGCAAGUCUGCAAGGGAAGGAGGUUGAGAGCAAGUCUUGGAAAGAGACAGAAAGAUGGAAGUGUGGAGGCGGGAAAGAGCCAGAGAAGCGAGGACAUAACAACCAUAGAAAAAUGUGUGUGUGUGUGUGUUUGCUUUAUUGCAGUGGCCCCACCUACCCCUCCAUCCUGUUAAGGAGGCACAGUCCUAAGGAGGAGGGGUAGGAUCCCCUCCCUCAGCCACCGACACACAUGCACUCUCAUACACACACUCUGCUCUGAGAGGGAGCAGUCGCUGGAGAGCUCUGGAUAGACCAUACAAGGUUCUGCAGGUGUCCCACCCUUCUCUCAGCACAUGGAUGCUUUACAAGUGCUUCGUUAAGGAGGAAACAAUAGAACAGAAGCAGGGGAUGAAAGGAGACACUCAACAGGGAUUCCAGGCCGGACCAGGAUGUCAUGGUAACGUGUGUUUGUUGGGGUCAAAGGCUGAAGGCUGGUGAGUGGUGACCUAAGUGAAAGGCCAGGGUGACAUCUGACCUCUAACUGGGUAUGCAGCUGACCCUGGAGGAUACUGCUCGACAAAAGGAGGCACGUGCCUAGGCCUUGUAACCAUGGUAACACAGGACCUUUUGGAACGGUAGGGGAGGGCGGGGGUCAAAGCUCCGUCUUUAUCCUGAUCUGUGUUAACCGUCUGUUGCAGAUUGACUUAUGGAUAUAACACAUACCCACCACAGACUGUGUGUGUGGUGGGGGGGUAUGUGUGUGAGAGGAAUCUUUGGGCUGACUGGGUAAUCUCUGCAGGCAACUGUGAUGAUGUUUUAUAUUCUCACAAUCACCUGGAGAGAUUCUGCAGUUCGUCUUAUAUGUACCCUGUAAACCUUAAAACUAUGUUUACGGUAUAUUUAUUCUACUCGUUUUUUUUCUAUCAGAAACCAUUCAGUCAUAAAGAAUCCUUGCAAUUGUUAGGAUUUAAUUGUUCUGCAGCAUAUUAGGGGACCUAACCGUUUACUUGAGGUUGAUUUAAAGAAAAAAAACAAAAAACAUCUGCUUGAUCAAAUAGGAUUUCACACUACUUUCAGGUAAGAAUAUCUGCACAAUAGAAGACAUAUUGACGUGUCAUGCUGCACUUUAGAUUCAUCUUUUCAUGCCUCUGUUACAAAUCAAUGCUGCCAGUGACUCUUUAAAAGAAGAAUGACAAUCAAGUACUGUCCUAAGUAUGGGCCAACAGGUGCAGUCCACCUGGAAGAAAGCAUGUUUUACACCUUAUGCUCUGCCUCUCUGAUGCUGGGUAAGACGCACACUAACCACAGAAAACCUACUACACCCUAAUCCUGCAGACAUUGAGCCACACCUCUAAUGUGAAAAAUAUCUCUCUACAUAUUCUGUGUAAUGUAAGAUCUGACACACCUGCAUUUUUUUCCUCAUUACUACCAAUCCUUUCUCUUUCCUGAGUCCUUUGCCUGCUCGUUCCCCCCUCCACCUCUGUUUUUCCUGUCUCA